rnacentral:rRNA from 1 species
GAUGAACGCUGGCGGCAUGCCUAAUACAUGCAGGUCGAACGAGAGGAAGGAAAGCUUGCUUUCCUGAAUCUAGUGGCGAACGGGUGAGUAACACGUAGGUAACCUGCCCAUGUGCCCGGGAUAACUUCUGGAAACGGAUGCUAAAACCGGAUAGGUAGCAGACAAGCAUUUGACUGCUAUUAAAGUGGCCUUGGCCAUGAACAUGGAUGGACCUGCGGUGCAUUAGCUGGUUGGUGAGGUAACGGCCCACCAAGGCGACGAUGCAUAGCCGGCCUGAGAGGGCGGACGGCCACAUUGGGACUGAGACACGGCCCAAACUCCUACGGGAGGCAGCAGUAGGGAAUUUUCGUCAAUGGGGGGAACCCUGAACGAGCAAUGCCGCGUGAGUGAGGAAGGUCUUCGGAUCGUAAAGCUCUGUUGUAAGAGAAAAACGGCACUCAUAGGGAAUGAUGAGUGAGUGAUGGUAUCUUACCAGAAAGU